rnacentral:rRNA from 1 species
AGGACAAACGCUGGCGGCGUGCAUAAAACAUGCAAGUCGGACGAACAAAAUCCCGCAAGGGAUUAGUUAGUGGCGAACGGCUGAGUAACACGUAGGUGACCUGCCCCGAAGUGGGGGACAACUCGCCGAAAGGCGAGCUAAUACCGCAUGUGACCACCGGUUCGUUCCGGUGCUCAAAGCGGUAAUGCGCUUCGGGAGGGGCCUGCGGCGGAUUAGCUAGUUGGUGGGGUAAUGGCCUACCAAGGCUUCGAUCCGUAGC